rnacentral:piRNA from 1 species
UGAUGCUGGCAAGGGAGAAUCGAAUAUGG